GACAGGCACGGCCGAGUGCCUCGGAGGCUGCCAGCCAGGGGCCAUGGACUCGGGAGGGCGGCACAGUUGAGCACGGAGCCCCGGGUGCAGGCGCUGCACAAAGCCGGGAGGGGUCCUGGCAGACUGACAGUGAGAAGAGCUGAGUGGCAUGGGCUCCGGGAGAGCAGUCAGAGACGCACGGGGGAGCUCAGAGACACACGGGGGAGCUCAGAGAUGCAAGGGGGAGCUCAGAGACACAGAGGAACAGCGGGAACUCAGAUGCUCAGAGGAGCAGUGGGACUCUGAGGCAGAGGGGAUGAGCCCAGGUGAGGGGGGGGCGGGCACACACUGAGCUGGAGGAUGUCGGCUUCAAGGGGACAUAAAAGUCGCCGCACAGAGCGUGUGGUACGGGCCACCCGAGCUGGUAGCAGAUUCCGGGUUGGAAAUUAGAGUCCGGGGCCUGGAGCUCCUGUUUCUGGAAACUGCUGCUGGGCGGACGGGGGCAGGCAGGGGCUCCCCAGCAGGGCAGGGACCCUCGGCACCGGGGGCCGCGCCCUCCUCAGGGGACCCCAGCAGAGGGCGGACAGGCACGAAACGGAGAAGGAGGGAGUCAGAUCCCCGUAGGAAAGGGAGAGGAGGAGGCACGGGUGGCGGGAGGAGAAGAUGAAGAGGUUCUCUCGUGUCCCGGGGCGUGGGUGGCCGUGUCCCGGGGCAUGGAUGGCCUUGUCCCGAGGUGUGGAUGGUGGUGUCCCGGGGCAUGGAUGGCGGCGCCAGCGGAUUGGGAGAAGAAGACCCCCACCUGCACAAGCCCCGAGAAGCUGGAGGAAAGAGAUGGACACACUCACCAGAGGGGCGUCGCAAGGGCUGAGGGCAGAGGGAAGAUGAGGCACUGUGACCAAGACUGUCCUGGUCGUGGCCUUGGGAGUUCUGAAGGCGCCGAGUGAGGCGGGAGGUGGCUGCGCCCGGUGCCUGUGUGGACGGACACGGAAGUGGGUCGCGGAUGUGACACUCUCAUGGACGCACACAGGACAAACCCAGCUUUCCUCUGGUGCUCGUCAGGGAUGCAGUUCCUGGAAAUACCGCAGCGUUCUCUCUGUUUCCCGCAGGGUUCCGAGGAACCCACGGGGUCCCCUGGGCCUUGAGCGUCGUCCCGAAUGCUGGCCGCUCCCGGGAGGCCGGCGGGAGCCCUGCCCCUGUCCUCCGGAGGCGACUCUGCUGUCGGCUCACGGCUGCCUGCAAGGGUGCUCGGCACCUUUGUCCUCUGUCUGGGACCGCGGCUGGAGGCUGCGAGGCCGGAGACCACACGGGGUCCCCGUCCUGACGACGCACGGCAGGGCUUGAAAGAGGAGGGUGCUGUGUGCAAAGUCCACUUGGGCCUCUGCGGCCUUCGGUGAGAGAAUCCCCUCGAGUAUCAAGUACCUCUCGCUCCCGUUUCCCCUCCUGCCUCGCAAGCCGGGCCCUGGGGACGGGGCCCUCUGGCCAGGACGCGGACAGCCAGCCGCCUGGCCUCCGUCCACCCGGUUCCCACAUGAACACAAAUAUUUACUUCCUUUUUGGUUCCCGGCCAGGAAGGUUAUGGGAAAUCAAGUCCAGCAGCAGCAGCCGCGUUCAAGGCAAGCGGAGAGGAGAGGGCAGGAAGGCUGGGUUACCCCAGAGGGACGGAGAGGGCGGCAGGAAGCGUAACACAGAGCCGGGAGGGAGGCGGAGCCCGAUCCUCCAGUGCUCAGCCCGGGACUCGAGCGGAUGUGCACACGCUUCACGCUGUUGAUCCGUCUCCUUGGAAAUGCUCUUCUCCGUAAUUAUCCCGAUUUCAACAUAGGGAAAAAAUCUAUUUGGACUCAUUGGGCGACCAGGAAGGCAAAACUCAAUCAUGUGAAAUUCAGUGUGCGAGCCGUUUGUAACGUUCCGUAUGUAAACAAGAAUGUCUCCAGGAGGAGGCUGAAAACGUUCUCUGAGAAUUACUGUCACCUUUAAAACCAUUAACAUAUAUACAAGGUUCCAGCACUGACUGAGUCUUAGAAGGGGAGGGUCUCUAAAAGAGCUUUGGUUUGGUUUGGCUUGGGGACCAUGCCCAGGAAUGCUCAGGGCUGACUCCCGGCUCUGUGCUCAGGGCUCACUCCUAGCUCUGUGCUCAGGGCUGACUCCCGGCUCUGUGCUCAGGGCUGACUCCCGGCUCUGUGCUCAGGGCUGACUCCUGACUCUGUGCUCAGGGCUCACUCCUGGCUCUGUGCUCAGGGCUCACUCCUGGCAGACUCAGGGGAAUGUCUGGGGCCCCAGAAACCAACCCCAACUGGCUGUGUGCGGGUAAGUGCCCUGCUUACUCUCCGGCCCUAAGAAACCUAAGGAAUGGAGCCUCCUCUACAUUUCUCUUACUUAAUUUAUGUGCAGAAACACAUUUGGGCGAUCAGCCCGGUGGGUCCACAUUUAUUGAGCCUGUUUCUCUAAGGCAUCUGCAUCUGUUACCUCCUCGGGUUCCACAAUAAACACUCUAUGGCUGAAAUCAGAGGGGGCGGGCCAUCGGCCCAGGGCCACACAGUGUGUGGGCCAAGGUGGGCUGACGGGGUCCGCAGGCAUGAGAACUGGCCCCUGACACGCGGCCCCGUCCCCCCGAACCCCCCCACCCUCCCCAGACAGCUCGGCCGGCCCGUCUGUCCCAGCAGCCUGGCGUGAGUCUUUCUGCACCUUCCCUUCCUCAGGACACGGCUGCUCAGCCCGCCGGGGCGCGGAGGGUCACACCUCUCCCCGCAGUGGGUCUUGGCGCCACUCGAGGCCCGGCAGGACUCACCCUGAGUGUGGUCGCUGGCCACUGCGGGGACACGGGCUCCUGAGCGCCCAGGAGGCCUUUCCUGAGUCCACCUCGGCCCCGACACCCCCGGCCCUCGCUGUUCUCUGAAACCUGCACAUACACAUGAGCGACUCCUUCCCCAGGCCCCGCUGGGCCGAGCACUCCAGAAUGAGGUGGGUGCUUGGAGCUGUGUGUCCCGCAGGCCUUGCUCGCCAGAUCCCGCCCCGGAGAGACGCAGGAGGGAGAAGGCCGGGCUCGCCGUCAGCACCCAGGGCAAGCCUCCCCCUGCCGGACCAGUCUCUCCCACCAGGGACCGUAGAAAGGGCACGUGUGUCUAUGGACACACAUGUGUACAUGUGCACACGUGCAGAUAUAGACCUGCUCUGGCUUUAUGCAAGUUCUAUACAAUUUACAAGACAGCCCCAGGAGGAGAAAAAUGUCUGUUAUCUAGAUCUUUCCUCGACAAUAGGCGAGAGGCAGCAAACCAGAAACGCUGCUUGAGCUGGAAACAGUCGCUGCUGCGAGGACUUUUAAGUGAAAAAUGAUCCUUUUCGACAAAUCAA